GCCGUGAGGAGCUUCCUAAUCUUGAUGCUGAAUACAUAAUCCACCCUACUGAGUCUCAGUAGUUUGGUGGCAGUCUUAUACACUAUGGUAAGCCUGUAAUUAAAUAGUAUAAGCAAUGUUUAAUUAUAUUACUAGCCUUAGAUGAAAAUUAGUUGCCUACAGUGCUACCCCUUUCGGAGUAAUUGAAAGAUCGCUUUGACGAGCCUAAUGUGGAAGAGCCGUUUGGAGUGCCUGUAGUGUUAUAAUUAGUAAUUGUAGAUAGGUGUAGUUUUGAUAGGGAUUCAC
rfam:Bat coronavirus HKT8, complete genome